UACGUAGGGACCAAGCGUUGUUCGGAAUCACUGGGCGUAAAGGGCGCGUAGGCGGCCGAUCAAGUCGGGGGUGAAAGCCUGUGGCUCAACCACAGAAUUGCCUUCGAUACUGUUUGGCUUGAGACCGGAAGAGGUUAGUGGAACUGCGAGUGUAGAGGUGAAAUUCGUAGAUAUUCGCAAGAACACCAGUGGCGAAGGCGGCUGACUGGUCCGGUUCUGACGCUGAGGUGCGAAAGCGUGGGGAGCAAACAGG
rnacentral:rRNA from 1 species